ACUCCUACGGGAGGCAGCAGUGGGGAAUAUUGCACAAUGGGGGAAACCCUGAUGCAGCCAUGCCGCGUGUGUGAAGAAGGCCUUCGGGUUGUAAAGCACUUUCAGCGAGGAGGAAAGGUUGAUGGUUAAUACCCAUCAGCUGUGACGUUACCCACAGAAGAAGCACCGGCUAACUCCGUGCCAGCAGCCGCGGUAAUACGGAGGGUGCAAGCGUUAAUCGGAAUUACUGGGCGUAAAGCGUGCGCAGGCGGUCUGUUAAGCGAGAUGUGAAAGCCCCGGCU
rnacentral:rRNA from 1 species